rnacentral:rRNA from 1 species
GAGGCAGCAGUGGGGAAUAUUGCACAAUGGGCGAAAGCCUGAUGCAGCGACGCCGCGUGAGGGAUGACGGCCUUCCGGGUUGUAAACCUCUUUCAGCAGGGAAGAAGCGCAAGUGACGGUACCUGCAGAAGAAGCACCGGCUAACUACGUGCCAGCAGCCGCGGUAAUACGUAGGGUGCGAGCGUUGUCCGGAAUUAUUGGGCGUAAAGAGCUCGUAGGCGGCUUGUCACGUCGGAUGUGAAAGCCCGGGGCUUAACUCCGGGUCUGCAUUCGAUACGGGCAGGCUAGAGUGUGGUAGGGGAGAUCGGAAUUCCUGGUGUAGCGGUGAAAUGCGCAGAUAUCAGGAGGAACACCGGUGGCGAAGGCGGAUCUCUGGGCCAUUACUGACGCUGAGGAGCGAAAGCGUGGGGAGCGAACAGGAUUAGAUACCCUGGUAGUCCACGCCGUAAACGUUGGGAACUAGGUGUGGGUCACAUUCCACGUGGUCCGCGCCGCAGCUAACGCAUUAAGUUCCCCGCCUGGGGAGUACGGCCGCAAGGCUAAAACUCAAAGGAAUUGACGGGGGCCCGCACAAGCAGCGGAGCAUGUGGCUUAAUUCGACGCAACGCGAAGAACCUUACCAAGGCUUGACAUAUACCGGAAACGGCCAGAGAUGGUCGCCCCCUUGUGGUCGGUAUACAGGUGGUGCAUGGUUGUCGUCAGCUCGUGUCGUGAGAUGUUGGGUUAAGUCCCGCAACGAGCGCAACCCUCGUUCUGUGUUGCCAGCGGGUUAUGCCGGGGACUCACAGGAGACUGCCGGGGUCAACUCGGAGGAAGGUGGGGACGACGUCAAAUCAUCAUGCCCCUUAUGUCUUGGGCUGCACACGUGCUACAAUGGCCGGUACAAUGAGCUGCGAUACCGCGAGGUGGAGCGAAUCUCAAAAAGCCGGUCUCAGUUCGGAUUGGGGUCUGCAACUCGACCCCAUGAAGUCGGAGUUGCUAGUAAUCGCAGAUCAGCAUUGCUGCGGUGAAUACGUUCCCGGGCCUUGUACACACCGCCCGUCACGUCACGAAAGUCGGUAACACCCGA